rnacentral:rRNA from 1 species
UACAGAGGUCCCAAGCGUUGUUCGGAUUCACUGGGCGUAAAGGGUGCGUAGGUGGUCGGGUAAGUUUAAGGUGAAAGCUCCGGGCUCAACCCGGAAAUGGCCUUGAAUACUAUCCGGCUCGAGGGUUGGAAGGGGGACUGGAAUUCUCGGUGUAGCAGUGAAAUGCGUAGAUAUCGAGAGGAACACCAGUGGCGAAGGCGAGUCCCUGGACAACACCUGACACUGAGGCACGAAAGCUAGGGGAGCAAACGGG